CGCGUGGACUGCUCGAGUAACCAUAGUUACUUGGAAUCAAGAUCGCGUAGUUCGUGAACGGCAUCCGCCAUUUUGAAGUGUCGGCUUUGCAUUGGUUUUUCCCAUCUUCGCUGGUGAAUCCGACAAUCUAGAGGAAGACAUCAAAAGAAGGCUUUUGAAUGCUUUGGAAACAAUUUCUCCAAGAAGCAGAUGAAUUUACUGACAAACGUAAUCCCCCAAAGCAGUUGUUAGGUAAGUUUAAUUGCUGACAUGUAAGAUGCAGAUUGUCUUGUCAUAAAUUGUCCCUUGAAAACUAA